rnacentral:rRNA from 1 species
AGUGAACGCUGGCGGUAGGCCUAACACAUGCAAGUCGAACGGCAGCACAGUAAGAGCUUGCUCUUACGGGUGGCGAGUGGCGGACGGGUGAGGAAUACAUCGGAAUCUACUUUUUCGUGGGGGAUAACGUAGGGAAACUUACGCUAAUACCGCGUACGACCUACGGGUGAAAGCAGGGGAUCUUCGGACCUUGCGCGAUUGAAUGAGCCGAUGUCGGAUUAGCUAGUUGGCGGGGUAAAGGCCCACCAAGGCGACGAUCCGUAGCUGGUCUGAGAGGAUGAUCAGCCACACUGGAACUGAGACACGGUCCAGACUCCUACGGGAGGCAGCAGUGGGGAAUAUUGGACAAUGGGCGCAAGCCUGAUCCAGCCAUACCGCGUGGGUGAAGAAGGCCUUCGGGUUGUAAAGCCCUUUUAUUGGGAAAGAAAAGAAGCAGGUUAAUACCCCGCCGUUCUGACGGUACCCAAAGAAUAAGCACCGGCUAACUUCGUG